rnacentral:sRNA from 1 species
ACAUCCAAAAUGACGAGUUGGCUUGAUUUGCCGCUUCAGCUCUCGCGCGCCCUGGCAGCGCCGCCUGCUGGGUGCGGCGGGCGAUGCGGACAUGUUCUGGGCCCCUUUCACCAUCCAUUCAAGAACAGUGUGACCGCUUCUGAUUGGACGUUGUGUUCGAUUGCUUCAAGUUGUUACGGGUGAGCAGCGUGGAAUAAUCCCUUAAUUCACCCGAAGUAUCUAUUGCUCCCCCCUCUCUCUUUAGCUUUAGUUUUUUCUUCAGCGGUUCAAGUGGAGGAUUCUUGUAUUUGGAAACCGAGUUAUCUUCUCCCUGACAGAGGAAUUGGCAAUGGACUACUCUGUACUUUUCCAAAAGCACCAUUCUCAGGGAUAUAUGCUCCAUGCAAUGGACAAACAUGGCACUCCUGAGCAUGGUUUUUAUCAUCUCCAACCAGUGGAGAUAUGUGCAUGUUCAUGUGCAGUACAUACACGUGCGUGGACAUGAACAUACAUAUUGAUUGUAUCUAAAUCAUUUACGUAGGAAUUUCACUUGGUAAUCAUGAUUCUCAGCAA